rfam:Lachnospiraceae bacterium 9_1_43BFAA genomic scaffold supercont1.2, whole genome shotgun sequence.
ACAAGAGAUAGAGGUGCAAGGAUUAUCAGUACGGUACAUGAGAACACGGUGGACGACCGAUGUACCGGAAAGGAUGAAUUGCCGAAGAACUGUUCUUUCGUCCGGGGAGCAGGAUCUGGGUCACUGCAGAAUAUGCAGUGGACUGUCACAGACAUGUGGAGUGCUAUCGUUGGC